rnacentral:lncRNA from 1 species
CUGUUGAGGCGCCGGCCGGCUGGCGCAGUCCUGUGGGCGGCGUGGCGCUUGCAAGCGCAGGAAGAGUCCUGGGGGGACCGCGGCGGGCGGGAGACCGUUGGCGCCGGCGCUUCCUCUUAAUCCCGGCUUGUUCCCGACGCUUGUUCCCGACGGUGCUCGCUCCUGGGCCCGUCCUGGCCCGGGCUUUCUGGCCGAUCGCGCACCCCGUAGUACCCGCGCGGCCUAGUUCUCGGGGGCUUGGGCACCCGGGUGCUGUAUCGGCGGGUUUCUUCCCAUCUCCUGGACAUUUACUUUAUAUGCUGCGGCGGAGGUCGUACCUCCUUGGCCUGGAGGAACCCAGUGGGGACUGACGCAGCUCCGGGUGAGCUUUGGCGGCUGCGUCGAGUGACAAGAAGUCAAUGAAAGGAUUCUAUUUUGCAAAGCUGUAUUAUGAAGCUAAAGAAUAUGAUCUUGCUAAAAAAUACAUAUGUACUUACAUUAAUGUGCAAGAGAGGGAUCCCAAAGCUCACAGAUUUCUGGGUCUUCUUUAUGAAUUGGAAGAAAACACAGAGAAAGCCGUUGAAUGUUA